rnacentral:lncRNA from 1 species
UUUUUUUUUUUUUUUUUUUUUGGGUAUGAGAGAAAGUCUUUCCUACGAGAGAAAACAACUACUACUAACCUGAAUUGCACAUAGUUGACAUCAUUCUCAUGGCCAGCUAGCAAAUCAAUCUCAUGACUAGGUUGCUCUGGAUCAUCUGAAUUGGAUUUACAAGCACUCCACACCUAGAAACAGCCAUGUAUUAGGGCACUUCAAUCCAAAUACAUCCAUUGGAAUUCUCUGCUUACUGAUAAAGACUAUACAUGAUCAUGUAAAACAACAGUCCAAAAUGCACAUAGAUUUUUAUUAUGUGUCUGGUAUUUUUGAAAAAUUCACUCUUCUUAAGUGCCCGUAACAGGUGCACAAAUUAUUGUCAAUGCAGAUGAGUUCCACAUCUUAAAUACUCAAAUAGAACUUUAAAAAAUAUGGAGAACAAAUUUUUAGCUGUUCAAUAAAUAUGGAAUAUCAAAGUCUUGUUGAGCAUUAGACUAGACAAGUACAAUGUUUCACAUGUAGAUUAGCAUCUAUCUAAAAAGAAACAAGUAAACAUGCACAUAUAGGUAUCCAACACAUACAGUUGCUUUAAAUUUCCUGAAAGACAUCUACAAUGGGUGAUUUUACAUGAAGUGUUCUUAAAGCAGGGCAUUAGAGGUAUUCCAGCCAUUUUGACCAAGGAUUAAGGAACCAGCUCGAUGGCUGGUCCAAUGCACCAGAAUACAAAGUGCAUGCAUUUUCUCUUCAGAUUUGGGCUUCAAAAUUCCAGUAAAACAUUGCCUAGAAUUGCAAGAUUUACAUGUUGCGUUUCCUGACUUCUCUUCAACUAGAUUUAUUCCCAAGUUUCACAACUACUGAAGCCAAACUAGACAGUUUUCUAUUUACUUAAUCUGGCUACAUGAAAGCAUAGAAUACAUAAGCCUCUUUUAUCUUUGUACCCUAGCAUGAGUAUCAGAGCUUCCAGUGACAAAGACAGUUCCAUUCGCAUUGUAGGCACAGCAUAAGAUUUGAUGGCACUGGGAUACAUUACUUGAGGAAGGCACAUUAGCCAAAGGGAGGCUGCUUGUCUUCCCUGCAUCAAUUCUUAGGACAAUGAACACUCUGGCAACCAAUUGGCAUAGAAAAUACAACUAAGAAAUAAAAGAGUAGUCUUCUAACCAGAAACAACUUCCAAUGGCGUUGGCAAGUAAACACGUGGACUACAAUCUGAGGAUCUUGCAUCCCAGAUCCUGCAAGUCCCAUCAUCUGAAGACCUACAGAGAUUAAAAACCAGCAAAGACAAUGAAACUCAUGUGAGCCAGACCAAUUACCUUCCAAGCAUCAGUUUGUUUUUCAGCAGAUAAAUUUCAAUCAAAGUAGAAUUGUUCACACAUGAUAAUUUUCUAAAGAAGAUGCCACCGCAAAAGCACAUGCUUCCAGAAUAGUACAGUUGAAAGUAAAUGGCACUGAACACCUUGCCCAACCACACAUUGUCAUCCAUGAAGUGUCAAAAUGAGAACUAUCUCACUGCAGGCAUAAGACAAGCACCAGAUAGAUAAAGUAAAGGAGGCAGCCUAUGUGAGCCCAACUGCUCUGUGUGGGUGUGUGUGUGUAAAACAGAUAGAGACAGAGAUAUAUAGAUAGAAAGAUAAUUAGAUAGACAACUAGAUAGAUUUUGACAAAAAAAAAAAGAGAGAUAGACAACUAGAUAGAUAGGCAGGUAGGUGGGUAUAUAGAUAGAUAGUCAGAGAGAGAGAGGAUUCAGAAUAAAUCUGAAGAAAGACUAAUUCCAAAGAUGGUCAAUACUUCAAUUUCAACACAAUGUACACAUCCAAAAGCACAUUAUGAAAGUCUUGAUAACGUCGCUGAGCUAAAAGAUAACAUGCAACAAUAGUGCUUACAAGGAAUGAAUCCGAAACUAAACAAUCAUGAUAAGAAAUGGAAACAAGUUGCAAGAGCUAGAACUCCUUUAGUAUUACUCUGACCAAAUAGGUGCCGAGAUGAACCAGUUGUACAUUUUGACAUAGUCAUUUAUCCACAUCUUAUUGCAUUUCUUAAGGAUAAGAAUUGACACAACUAUCUAUAAAAAUCAACCAUUUAAAAGCCUGGAAUGAAACACUAAGAAAUGUGAGCCAACAAUACUCAAAUUCAGGUCCUAAUUCCCGCAAGUCUUUCCUGUUCUUGUGAGCCUAAAGUUUAAUACAUCUCCUAGGAAGUUUGCAUGGUUUGUCUAUAACUAACAGUAAGGAUCUAAGAUCCACCAGAGAGGAUGCUCUAUCACAGCAUCCAAAGGCAUCUAGUAUUGACUGAAGGAAGAAAAUCACAAGGAUCUACCAAAGUGAGAUUAGAUUAAUCAUCAAAAAUGGAAAAGAAAUCAGGAACAGAGAUUAAAUCAGUCAGAAGGGCUCACGAUAAAAGUUGAUAGACAGAGCUAGGCCUGGGACUGAAUGCAAUGGCAGUAACAGCUCCUGUAUGUCCUUGCAGAACUGAAAUUGGAAAUCCAUCUGGCAAUCGCCACUGUAGUACACAAGACAAACUACUUUGAAAAAAGUGAAGGAUGGCAGAUCUCUUUGUUGAGCAAAGAUAGAUCACUCAAAUAGAGAAGAAACUUACAACACGAAUGCUGUAGUCAUUGGAAGCAGAUGCUACUAAUAUAUUGUUUGAGCUAACAGCUAAGUCAGUUAUGUCACCCUUUAAUAAGAAAAACAAACGAGUUAAAUCACUAUGAGAACAUAUAAUUGGAUCAAACGCAAACCAGGAGUCAAAAAAACUUCAGCAAAGUAUUUCACAUCCACGUCAUCCAACUUACUUCAUGACCUCGACAACUGGCUAGACAAAAUGCAGUUUCCAUGGACCAUAUCUUGACAAGACGAUCAUCUGACCCAGUAAUGACAUAUCUUCCAGAGCGAUCAAAUAUUGCUAGAGUACAAAGAAGUUGUCAAUAGAAUUGCUUUAUAUAGAUUAGCAUUAUUUGCUAACAUCAAAAUACUAAAGAAGCUCAGAAGGAGAGACAAGCAGUGCAAGGAGCCAAUAUGUGAAAGUUUAACAUUCAAAAUCCUAACAAUACGUCAUUUUCAUAGACAAUAUGAUUUCAAGAGAUAUAAGAUGUUCAUGCAAAGAUCAGAAUAGAGGUAUCACACCACAAUACACAGCAUCUCUGUGUCCCCUUAGUUUCUUUAUAUUUUGCAUCUUCUGCACCAUCAUUGACGGCUUAGCUACAGCAUAAGAGGCAAAGCGAACUGAUGGAGCCCGAUGGUGUUUUGAAAAACCACCCCCAAUUUCUCUCAAACUUAGUCCACGGACCUGAUCUGCCAGCAUGUGAGGCCAACGGAGAUAAGAAGCAACAUGUUUUACUUGCUUGCUGACACUAUUUCUAUCACCUGUAGAAACAGUACAGCCACAUUUUACAUACUUAUAAGACUAGCAAAACACAUUGUCAGAACAAAGGCCAAAUAUCUUAUUGGAAAUACUUAUCAAGUACAUUAAAGAGAAGAAAUAGACAAUUAUGUCCUACAAGAAACCAUAGCGAAGAAACGUGCAUAUAGGGCCAGCAAUGGACACGAGGAAUUCCAAGCUACCAGCUACUAAGGCAGCCUUCCUAUGGCUGCUCAAGAUAUGCAAGGAACAAAGAACACUAGUAGGAACUAUAUUAAGCCACAUAAUUUCUAUUCAACCUCUAUCCUACUCUAUUCUGUGCUCUCCCUUAUUCUUUACAUGGUACAGAAAAUCGGACAACAUUAAAUUCAGCCAGCACUAAACAGCCCCUAGUCCAUGAAAACUUUUGAUAUUACCCAAGGAAUCAUCCAACAUGAGAUCAGCCCCCACACUGCAAAAGAGUGAGGAUUGUAAUAAAUGAUUGGAAAUAAUGGUUUAAAGUUCAACAAGUUUCUUAUAGAGGGAUAUCCAAAAACCAUCCUUAACAAGCAACUACCAAGCCCAAAAAAUUUCCCUCUACAUAUUCUUACUUUAUCUGCUAUUGCAGAGAAAAAAUCUAAGCAAUGAUGCAAUUCAGUAUCAACUAAGUGAAUUUACACAUCUGUGCUGCAGUCUUGUGGGCGUGUGUGUGUAUGGCACGUGUGUGUGUGAGGGGGAGAGAGACAAACAGACAUGCACACACAGAGGGAGAGAGAAAGAAAUACAGGAAAGCUACAUACUGCAUAAAAGAGAAAAGGAGCCAGUUCCAAGAAGAGUGGGCACAUCACUAGCACUUGGAACAGUUCUGCCAACAAUGCAAGGUAAUGGAGUCGAAGUGCUCAACAUCAGUUGUCUAAGCAGCUUUACCAGGUGAUCAUCUUCAAUGUGAGGAAACCUGAUUGUCAUAGAAAUUCAAAGAUUAUACCUUCCCGAAACUGAUAUCAAAAGAAUGGAAAAAUGGCUGUUCUCUUCAGGAGUUUCUUUGUACUAUUCUUCUUUUACAAUCGAUUCAAGAUCCAAGAAAUUGCUCAAGGAUAGAAAUUGUAUAUUACCAAAUACAACUUUGCAAACGCAGGCAAAAAGAAAAAGAAUAAAUUUUACAGCAAUGGCCCAAAUUCCACAGCAGUACCAGUAUUUCAAUAUCAGAAAUGGUUUCUAGAAGAUUUGAAAUAAAUAUUUUGUCCCCCCCACUCCCCCCAAAAAACGUAAGGCUUUAACAUGCAUUAUGACAUAACUUGAAAUGGCAAACAGUAGUAGAAUGAUAAAAAGGAACAAUAGCAGCAUCUUGGAUGAAUCACGUACUAUAUCUCUAAAAGAGAUACAAGUUUCAAGCAACACAAAAACAGUGUCUAUCAAUUGCACACUAAUUCAGAAAAGGCUACCAAUAAACAAUCAAUGAACAUUUACCUCUUGACUAGAUUAGCAUAGUUUAAAGGGAAAGAUACGCCAUCAUCAUUUUCAUGACCGCUUUGUGCUCCGCUUCUUGAAUACCAAGCAUGAUAUCUCCUUGGUAGAAGUUCAUGUUCUAAAAGUUCAUCUAAAAUUUGUGUAAAAGUUUUUUGGCAUGGCCCAGUUGAUAAAAAUCGCAUAAUCAGAAAAUAAACUUCUCUAAUGUCAACAUCUACAUUCGCUGCAGCAAGAUGAUUAUCAGAACCCUCCUGCUCUUCCAAUCGAGAGACUGCAUGGACCUUAUUAACAAAAUUCAAAGGGGCCAUUUUUGUAGAAGGCACGUCGCUCCAAGAUGGGCACUUCUGAAAAUCCAUACACUAUCAUAAGCAGAACCAUAAAAGCAAAAAUAAAUUAAGAAUAUGCCUUUCAUAAUGUGAACUUCUCAUAGCUAAAGAAGCACUAAAUUCAAAACAAUGAUACCAUGUGAUCAAUAAUGAAGGGUUUUUGUAAUUUAGCAGUUAACAGGUGCUCAAAUGCUCCACGUCAUAGCAAAGUAGCAUUUUCAGCGAACCAAAAAGAAAUUAAGGUUGGAAAGUCGGUGCUUACAUAUCUACUUAAAAUCUUCUCAAGGGAAAAAAAAACAAUGUCUGCGCAUUGUACUCGAAAUAACAGUUUAAAGGAAAAAAGUAAUGAUCAAGAGUUCCAUACCAGAGUACAGGCUUGUGAAGGAAAAGAAAGGAUGUUCUCAUCUCAUUGAAUGGUUUCUAAGAGUAGCAAAGGAAUAACCUAAAUUGAACAGUCAAUCAUCUGCUUACAAGACAACCCUAAACCCUAUUAUCUUUCCCAGCUUCAGAAUGAAAGACCUUUAAACCCAAUUCAUUGUAGUCCAUGAGAUAAUUCAAGCUACCAAUAUGAACAUAUAGACACAAAUUCUUAUUGGCUUGCUAAACAUGCAUAUGUAUAUGAACAUUGUCGUUCAUAGUUUCAGUCUUCGUACUUACAAAACAAUCCCUGCAUAUAAAUCUAAUCAUCCCUUUUUCAAGUUUAUCCAUCUUCAUCCAUGAGCAGCAUUAGUCAAAACAAAGAAUGAGCUAAACUAUUAGCAGGAGUAGAAACUACAGCUGUUAAGAAAUACCAAACGCAUAGGAACUGGCCAAUAUAAAAUCUUUCCCUUGAGCUCAGAGGAACUCAACUAUCAUUCAAGUGAUUAAAAAGGACCAAAAAAAAAAGAGUGCUAGUAACUUACUAGAUGAAACAGGAAAGACAAAUGGAUACCUCAAUCACAAUUCAGCUGCCGUCAAGCAAAAAUUGAAGUUAAACAACCAAUGCGCUACACAUGAAUCUUAAGUUAAAACCUACUUUGACAGGCUGGAAAAGUUAACCACCGACCCAGACUAGAAAUAAAUGAUAGAGGACGAAGAAAAUGGAAAAAGAAAAGAGCACAGGCGAGGGGAAAAAAAAGGAAAGUUAGAUUGUCCAAAAUGUAUCCAAGAUACCGGGAGAAGAAGUUAAAUCAGUAGCCAAAGAACCCUAAUUUCCAUUCAUGAAGAGUUACUGAUAUAAGGCAAAUUGGAGAAGGAAAAAAGAAAAGAAAUGAGGAAGAAGAUGCUUCAGAUGCUGUGGUUGAAUAAUUUCUCAUACCUUUCUCUACAAGAAUAGUUGGUGAAAGGGAGAAAAAGAUGGUUGAAUUGAUAUUGGUGUUUCUUUAGCAUCCGAAAACAAGCUUGUUCAGAUGAACGCAGUAAACACCUCUCUCCUCACCUCGUCUUUUUUAGCCAUGUCCGUCCAUCUCUCUAUGGAUACAACAAAUAGCGUACGGGUUUUUGCCCACAGAGAGAGAGAGAGAGGUCUCGUGAGAGACGGCGCAAAAGGGGAGUGGGUUCAGAUUUAUUUGGAAAUAAUCGUAAUAGGAAAAAUGUUAUUUGCACCUCCAUCUUUUCUCAUUUGCAGUUUUGCUGCUUUUGCACUCCCAUUAUUAUUUUAAUUAUAUAACAGUUUUCAUUUUAAUUAUAUCAUUUUAUAUGCAAAUAACAAAAAAAGAGUGUAAGUAAAUAUUUGGGUUAAUCACAUUUUGUCCCCUUAAAGAAUACCUCAUUUCUCUGUUUACCCCCUAAUCUUUAAUUUUACUCACUUAACCCCCUUUAGGACAAAAUUGCCCUUGCAUUAUUUUGACUUUUCAUUUACUUUAUUUUUCUUUUUUCUAUUUCUUUUUCUCUUUCUUCUUUCUUUCAUCCUUCCCAAUACAAAUUUCAUUUUAAUGAAAAUUUUUGUUUUGAGUUUGUAAUUGCAUAUUUCUGAGUAAAAGUUUAAAAGACAUCAAAAACUAAUUUUGAUUUUUUGUAUGAUGCCACGUGUUACAAAUUUCAAUUGAUGAUUAUUAAUCAAGUCACAAUUUCAUCUUAAGAUAUUUUCUUGGGAAUAAAAUGAGAAACUAGAAAGGAAAGAGGAAAACCGAAAAUUAAAAGAAUUGAAAGGCUAAAAAAACUGUAUUUUAGGAAAGUGAUUUGAAUAUUUUUUUAAUCAUUUAAGGAGAAGAUAGAUCUCUGCAAUUUCUCUUUUUUAAUUUUAAUCAUUAAGGUGAAGAUUUUUGUGGGAAAGAGAAAGAAUUAAAUAAAGAAAAAAGAGAAAAAUAAAUAAAACAAAGGAAAACAAGAUAAAUGAAAAAUCAAAAUAAUGCAAUGGCAAUUUUGUCCUAAAGGAGGUUAAGUGAGCAAAAUUAAAGUUUAGAGGGUAAACUGAGAAAUGAGGUAUUUUUUAAGGGGAUAAAAUGCGAUUAACCCUAAAUAUUUUCUUAAUAAUAAUAAGAGCCUCUUCAACGAGUGCUCAAUGGAUUUCAAGCGUUCAUAUUUUAAAAAAGUAACGCUGAUUAGAAAAAUCAUAUAAAUGUAAAAUAAAAUAAUAAUUAUUAGUAUACGAGUUCAUAUAAUAAAUUAAGUGUGAUCUAAAUACACUUACCUAUAUCUAUGCAAUAUAUAAUACCUAAGUAAUGGCAUUUGGUGUAAAUACUUUUGUCAUCUUUGAAUUUUUUAUUUUACUCUUAUUAAGAUUACUUUUUAUGCUAAUCACAUUUCACUAAUAUAAAAAACACCCUAAUUAUUUUAUCUACCAAAUUACUAUAAUCAUGUAAACCAUAAGUUCUUUUGACGAAAAUUUCAUGUAAAAUUUUUUAUAAUGUGCCAUCAGCACUAGACUAGAGAUAGUAAUAGUACUCCCUCCGUCCCACCUUGAUAAUUCUGUUUUCCUUUUUCUUCCCAAAUUGUAGUUCAUUUUCCAAUUGAAUGGUGUAAUUGUAUUUUAAUUUUCCUAAGAUACCCUUAUUUAAUGUAAGUUGUUGUUAUUAUAAACCUACCCCAUUUAAUAAGAGUUGAUAUUUUUUUACCAUUAAUUUAAGUUCCAUAAAGUUAUACUCUAAUUAAUGUGAAAGUAUUUUAGAAAAAUAGCUACUUAAAUUGAUAGUUCCAACAAAAUUAAUUCCUGUUAUGAAAUAAUUAAAAGUAUGGAUGUUCCUUUGUAUUCCCAAGAGGAUUAAUUCUUGAUUUAUGGUUACAUUAUGUAUAGAAGUUACAAUCCAUAAAUCUAUUUAUGUAGUGGAAGAACCGUUUCAUAGGUUUUUUCAUAUUCUUGUAAUAGUGGGUGUUUAAUAGGAUUAAUGUUCCUUUAAUCUUGUAGUACCUAUAUAUAGAGGUACAUUGACACCCUUUGGAAGGACUUUGGUAUUUGUUGGAAUACAAGAAUAUCAUUAUCCAUUGCUCAACUUUUCCUCUAAUAUCUCUAUUCAUAUUAUAGUAGUUUAUUAGUUUUAUAACACGUUAUCAGCACGAGUCUCUACUUUUGAGCAAAAGGUAAAAACGGAGGCUCUAUCUUGAAUAAAAGUGAAACACAAGAUUUUGUCGAAAUUCUGCACGCAUUUUUUCAAAUAAAUUCUGAGGUAAAUUUCUAACUCACAAGCUUAAUUCAAUUUCUUAUGGCUAAUAUUUGAAUUAUCACAAAAAAUACAAGUACCUAUUGCUGAACAAUCACUAAAUACAAACAUAUACUGUUUGACACCUUUGAGGUAAUAUUUCUUCUUUUAAUUCUACUUAUUUACAUUUAGAAUUAUUCGUUAUAGAUACUUAUAUUCUGAUGCAUUGAGUUUUGGAGAUGCUAUUAAAGAAAAUCAAUUAAUUUUGAGGAUCCACUUGUCCUUUGAAAUAUUUAAAAAAAAAAUUCGACCACCUGAAGAUGGUCGUUCUUUAACUAAAAUAUUUGGCCACUAGAAAAUGGUCAUUAUUUCAAAAGUAUGGUAUGAUAAAUUUACCGUAUGGCUACAAGAACAUAAUUAUACAAUUUUCAGAAUUACUUCUCAGUUGAAAUUGUGUCGAAAAAAUUUUACUCAUAAGAUAUAUUGAAAAUGAUAUUCUCCACAAUUGAUUCCUCUAAUGUGCUCCUGUAGUAGCAAUAUUAAGAGAAAUUUUGAGAAGUAUUUUGUACUUAUUGCAUGCUAAUUCUAGUCCAUUCCCAGAAGUGAAUGCGACUAAAUUUCAAUUUAUUAGUUAUGAUUGAUGCCAUGACUAUGAUUUUGGUAAAUAUGCAUUUUACCAUGACAAGAGAAAAAGUUAUCACUUGAAGUGGGAUAAUAAUGAUAAGGACAAGAAAAUAAGGAUCCUGAAAACAAAUGUCCCGAAAUACAUUUGACAAAUAAAAAUUAUAAUAGCAUUUUCACAUGACAAAUUUCUUUGAACGCCCUGAAAGUGUAUGAUAAUUGAUUUAAUUAACUUUUCUUCCUGAAGAAAAAAUGGAUGUUAAAUAUUUGGGAUCAAAGGAUUAUGGUGAUGAUAUUUGUCUCAUAAGAAUUAUGGUGACAAUGAUAUGUGUCUCAUUAAUAAGUGAUACUAUAUAAACUAUAUUCCAAUGAGAGAGACAAACAUAAUAAGUGGUAGUGUUUAAGUGAUUGAAAUCUCCAGAAGAGCCACUGAUAUAUUUCUCCCUGUAGGAGAAAAAUUUAUGAUAAAUGAAGCACUACUUUUUACCAUGUCUAGAAGAAUUAUUGAAUUUGAAUAUCCGUCGAAAUGGAUAUCAAAUUGAGACACUAAAUGAAACAAUGAUAAAGAUCAUGUUUAGAAAUCAAAUGAGAUAAAGGUUAAUUAUAUCAUAAUAAUCAUUCGAGAGAGAAAUGGUUAUCGAUAUAGUUGUCUUCAUUCUCAUUUGAUUUAUAAUUAUCACCUGCAGUAAACCAGAAGUUUGCUGAUCCCAAUGGAUAUAUGAUUUGACAAAAGUGAGAAUAUUUGAGAGCCGACAAGUAUUUAUACAUACCCUCUUUAUAUUAUACAUGACUCUAAAAGAAAUUUAAAAUUUACGUCGAAUAUGAAUCACCUUUUACGAUUAAAUAUCGUAAAAUAUUGAUGGGUGAUCUAUUGAAUGAUUUAUUUAUUUUGAUGAACUACGAUUCCCGACAUUAAGGGGAGAAAAAAAACCAACCGAAAGGAAAUCAAUUGAAAAAUUAGAUUUUCUCGAUUCUCAUACAAAAUAAUGUGAACUAGAAGUUCAAGAAAUUCUUCAUUUGUAGAAAAUUAUAUUUAUCGACUCCAGAAGAGUCAUUAAAUCAACUAUUCCUGUAGGAAAUACUCUGGUUAAAAUUAAUGUCCCUGAAUGACAUGCACAAGUGCUACAAAUAAAUUUAAGACCGGCCUACCUAAAUAAGGUAUAAAUUGAUUUCGAAUAACUCCGGUGAUUAAAUAAAUGUCAUGACAAAAUUCAACCUCUUGAAGAGGUCGCUCCCGAAGAGCCAACUCCUGAAGAGAAUGAAAUCAUAGAAAAUUUAAUUGGAGCCUAAUGAAAUGUAGCACUUGAUAUUAUAGAAGUUGAGAGGAUCAUGAAUCUAGAUCGGUUGAUGAAUGUCGGUAUAGAAAUGAUUGGGCAAAGUGGAAAGAUGCAAUUCAAUCUGGAUUUAUUGAUUAAAAGAAAAGUUUUUGGACUUGUAGUCAAAACACCUAAAGGUGUAAAGCUAGUAGCUUAAGGAUUUUCACAAAUGUCUGAAUUUAAUUAUGAUGAAACGUAUUCACCUGUAGUGGAUGCUAUCACAUUUAGAUAUCUUAUGAGUUUUGCAGUACAUGAAAAAUUAAAUAUGCGUCUAAUGGACGUUGUCACUGCAUAUUUAUACGGAAAUCUUGAAAAUGAUAUUUAUAUGAGAAUCUCCGAAGGAUUCAACAUGCUUGAAGCAUGCAAAUCAAAUUUUAAAGAUAUUUAUUAUAUUAAAUUACAAAGGUCUUUGUAUGGUCUCAAACAAUCUGGACGUAUGUGGUAUAACCGCCUCAAUGAAUGUCUAACUAAAGAAGGUUAUACCAAUGAUCCAAUAUGUUCAUGUGUUUUUAUCAAGAAAAAUGGAUCAAAUUUUGUGAUAAUUGCUGUAUAUGUUGAUGAUCUAAAUUUGAUUGGAACUCCUGAAGAGAUUCAAAAUAAUAUUGAAUAUUUGAAGAAGGAUUUUGAGAUCAAGAAUUUUGGAAAAACAAAUUCUACCUUGAUUUAUAAAUUGAGCAUUUGAAAAGUGAAAUUUUUAUCCACCAAACUGCUUAUACCCGGAAGGUAUUAAAGCAGCUUUAUAUGAAUAGGACACAUAUAUUAAAUAUUCCAAUGGUCGUCAGAUCAUUAGAUCCUAAUAAGGAUCCUUUUAGACCGUGAGAGGAAGAUGAAGAGAUACUUGGUCCUGAAGUACUAUAUCUCAGUGCAAUUGGCGAAAAAUAUUGGAAUGCGACGAUUAAAAGAUCUCAAAUAAUGUUUGCAUCAAGGGGAGAAAUUAAUACACAAGAAUAGUGUACUCUUUUUCCUUCACUAGGAUUUUUGUCCCGAUGAGUUUUUCCCUGGUAAGGUUAUAAUGAGACAUAUUCUUUGUGUAAUGGACAUCCAAGGGGGAGUGUUAUGAAACAAUUAAAAGUAUGAAUGUCUCUUUGUAUUCUCAAGAGGAUUAAUUCUUGAUUUAUGGCUACAUUAUGUAUAGAAGUUACAAUCCAUAAAUCUAUUCAUGUAGUGGAAGAACCGUUUCAUAAAUUUUUUCAUAUUCUUGUAAUAGUGGGUGUUUAAUAGGAUUAAUGUUCCUUUAAUCUUGUAGUACUUAUAUAUAGAGGUACAUUGACACUUUUUGGAAGGACUUUGAUAUUUGUUGAAAUACAAGAAUAUCAUUCUCCGUUACUCUACUUUUUCUCUAAUUUCUCUAUUCAUAUUAUAAUAGUUUAUUAGUUUUAUAACAACUCCUUUUUUUUUUUAAAUCGUGUGAAAAAAAAUGAGGAUAAUUUUGGAUCAACGUUUUUACUAGUGGAUUGUUGGCCGCCAUGAAUGAUGAAACAGUAAGUAGCACUUCCAGUAAAAUGAGGCCGAAAGACAUAUCCAGGCAAGAAUAAAAGAAAAAAAAAAGUCGUAGGAAACAACAACAAAACAUGAUGGAUUAGCUUUCUUAUUAUAUUAAAAAUAAAAAAUGACAAUAAUAAAGCAGCAAGUCAAGUCAUGCAGGAUUUGGUAAAACAGGAAAAUGAGUUCGAGCUGUGGCAGUCCGUCGCCGUGAGACAGAAUGCACUCCCCUUCCGCGGAAAAAAAAAAAAAAGACGGAAUGCACUCACUCACUCACUCACUCGCCAGCGAAUGAAUGGACUCCACAUCCCAUCGCAACUACUCCGUAGAACUAAUCUCAUCUCAACAGUAGCAGAAGCUGGGAGUCUCGGCUAAAAGCUUUUACUCACUACAUAAAGAAAAAAAGAGGCGUGGGUACAGGUUUGGACUUGCAAUCACGACAGCACACAUACUAACACGCCCACUCCCGAACGUUAUCAAUUUUGACUAGAGACCUAUAGUCAGUAAUGCAAAUUCCCGAAGAAGGAUCAGGCAUCUAUGAAUCGGAUAUCAAACGUGUGCGGGUGGAUCUGCCACACGUUCAAGGCUGCAUAUUCUUCCAAACAUUCUUUCAAUUGGGCUUCACUGUAUCCCUGGCAUAUAAUAACAACAGAGGCAGCUCACAUCAGGGCACAGGGUACUAAACUGUCAUGGUAAAAAAGGUUGACGAAACACAACAAAUCAUUAAGAGUUAGUUAUGCUUUCCCAGCUUCGCUUGGUUUCCAGGGAAAUCCUCGCUAAAUUUAAAAAGUAUAAGCUUUCGCAUGCUAACCUUUCGAGAAAUCCAGUUCAGGGCAUGGGCAUAGCUUAUAUCCAUCCUGUUUGCCCUUGCAGCUUCAUCACGUAAGAUUGAAUAUAUAUCUGAGAUUGCAUCCAAGCCUGAUCUUUGGCGAUCCUCUGAAUACAGAGAGAACUUUGACAUUUGCAUUAAUCUUAGGGCCUCGUCCACAUCACUCUGAGCAACAGUGUCGGAGAACCGAAGUCUAGCCAGUGCCUAAAACAUAAAUAAAUAAACAAACAAUAAACAGAAAGAGAGAGAGAGAGAGAGAGAGAGUUUACAUGCCAAUCAGACAGUUACUGGAAAGGAAUAUAUAGCAUGCCAUCUACAAUUUGCCACCUCAGAACCCCAAAAAAAUUAAAUAAAUAAGUGUCUAUCCAACUAAUUUGUUGUAUCACCCAUGUCCAUAAGCUCAUAAAAAUCUGCCAUUGCAGCCGCCCCCGCCCACAAAAAAUAAUAUGCAAGACUCAAGGGUUGAUGGAUUCUCGGUUACACGCGUAUAGAUGCAAAUUUAGCCACUCCGCUUACAGCUGAUAUUCUGAGAAUGCUGAGCAGGGUUCUAACAGUGGUAUACGAAUGGGGUGUAUUUGAUUUUGCCUCCUCUUGCCUUAUACUGGAAUAUGCAGUGGCUAUAUACUCCUCCAACUCCCUUGGGACAGAAGGAGACAGUUUUCUUGCCGCCGAUAUAUAGGCCCUGGUAACAAUUAUUAAAAAUCCAUAGCAAAUCAUGUUGAAGUUAGAAAAAUGGUCUCUCAUAUUUUUCAUUCACUACGUUAUGACCAGGCUAAACUAGGAAAUCCCAUCCCAAAAUGUCCAGUUUUAAACCAAAAGUACAAGAUUUAAUGUUACCGCAGGACAGAUGGUUCAAGUGGAGUAAAUCCAAGAGCAGGAGACUCUUUGUUCUGGUGGACAUAUACAACAUGCCUAGCCAUUUCAAGAUCAGCAUCCAUAUCCGCUCUAUCUAAGAUCAACCAUAGAAGGUCAAAUCUUGAUAACAGCGCUGGAGGGAGAUUGAUGUUUUCGGCUGGUGUUCUUCGCAAGUCAUAUCUUCCCCUAAGGAAAAAAAUUCCAAAUGAUACUAAACUUUUCUAUUUCUGACGCAUGCGUCACUGUGGAGGAUAUCAUGUGAAAGUGUCACAGAAAAAGCAUAGAAAAUAAAAAGAAAGGGAAACAACUCAUAUAAGAUGUAUCAAGUGUUUACCAUGCUGGAUUAGCAGCAGCAAGGACAGCGGUCCUCGCAUUCAAAGAUGUUGUAAUCCCAGCCUUUGCAAUACUCACAGUCUGCUGCUCCAUUACUUCAUGUAUCGCUGUUCGAUCAGAUUCGUCCAUCUUGUCAAAUUCAUCAAUAGCGCAUAUACCCAUGUCAGCUAAAACCUGACACAAAGUAAAUAUAAGAUGAGAGCCUUGACGGCUUGUAAUGAGAAAAUAAACUCUGAGAAAUUAACUGAGACAACAACAUCAGGCUAUGACCCCACAAAGCUUGACAACCCAAUGCUCAUGCAUAUCUGAUUUCCCAUCUUCAAUUGGUUUACUUUACUUUACCAGAUCUUCUACACGUAAUUCUUUGGAUUGCCCCUUGAAAAUAAAAAACAGAAUCAUAUGAAAGCAAACCAUAUUCUUACCAAUGCUCCACCUUCGAGAACCAUUUCAUAUGUCACUGGGUCCUUCUGAACGGCUGCAGUUAGACCAACUCCACUGCUUCCUUUGCCAGUGGUGUAUACUCCUCUUGGUGCAACAUUAAUUAUGUGCUUAAGAAGCUGACUUUUUGCAACACCUGGAUCGCCCAUCAAACAAAUAUGUACGUCUCCUCUAAUCUGCAUUUUUUUAAGAAAACUCAAUUUUAGAUCCUUAAGCGGGCAGAAAAAUCAAGAUUCUCCUCAGAAAGCAAAGAGGUAAUCUGAGAAAUUAUCUGUGCACAUAAGAUUAAGGUACCAUCAUUGCAUUUACUGUUAUCCAGAAUUCAUUGCAGCAGUCAUUAAGCAAUACCCAACAUCAUUUUCCUAGUAGAGAGUUCUUGGCAAAAGUAGGAUUAUUUUUCCUGAAAUAGGAGCAAUGAAAGUAAUUUGUGGGCCAUGCAUUACCUUCAUACCGUCCUUUAAUUUCCGAUGAGGAGCACCAACUAGAAGAAGAAGAAGAGCUUUCUUAAUAUCUUCAUGUCCAAAAAUUUCCGGAGCUAAAGAGCGUGCCAACUUAUUGUAAAUAUCACCAUCCUCAGCUAAGCGCAAUAUCUGUUCUUCCUCAUCUCCUCUGAGUUCAUAUCUGCAUUUAGAAACAAGAAGAUUACAAGGCACUAUGUUUUGCACAAAUAUUUGUGUCCCUGGUUGAAACAUUUGAUUCAUUAAGAUUAGACAAAGCCUUACUCCUCAUAUUUUUUCUUGAAAUGGGUAACAGACAUGGCUUCCAAGUACGUAUCUGCAAUUAAACCAGCCCGCAUGGCUCUGAAUCCAGUGUAAGGAAUGGGAAGGAAGAUCCCUGAUAACUCAACCACAUCUCCAGGAGAUACCUACAAGGUCGGAAGGAGAUCAAUAUCAGACUAAUAAAAUAUUGUACAAAAACUGCAGAAGCUAUCCAAUGAAAAUGAAUCAGGAUAAGUUAAAUAUUGACUCCUUUUGCAGUUUUGAUUAACAGUCCUUAACUCAGGCAGCGCUUGUUAACAGGCCAAGCAGGUCCUCUCAGGAAAAGCACUGAAAAUACUUUAGGGUUUCCCAAAAACACAGCAAUCAGCUGAAUAAGACAGAUUCAGCUCCGUUCUAUAAAUAACAAUCUGCACUCUCGUUUGGUCAUAUAUUUUAAGCAACAAAAUUGGUUAGAAAACUACUUCAUGGGAUAUUACAACUCCAUGAUUCAAUUUACAGAAGUACUGGAAGUUGUCCAAGAUGCACAUUCAUGAUUUCACAAAUACAGUAACAAGCUUGGCAUCAGCAGAACUAUAGGUUCAGGAAGAGUCCGUCAUAAGGAGAACUUACUAGGAAUUCAUUCAUUGCUUACCUUCCUUGUGAGUUCUCCCCUGAAAUGGACUGUCAUUGUUCGAGGAAUAUGACCUUUGGGGACAUGUUCUGCCAAUUCCUGGAUUUUUGCCUGAAAGUACAGUAUGAAACCAUGUAAUAUGUAGAUGACGGAAAAACUAUCCUCGAGAGAUAAGACUCAGUCUUGACAAACCUCCUGAAACUUCAAAAACUUUGAUGCUCUGAGUUGGUGGAUAAGGUUGCCUUUAGUUUUAUUUAUCUUGCAGCGUUGGGAUGGGCACUCAAACAGAGGCAUAAAAACUCUAGAAGUAACCUCCUGAGAUCACAUAAACAACCACUCAGAGACUCGUGAGAAGAAGAAAAAAGUAAACAGGAAUCAGUUUCGUGUCAGGUUGCUAGAGAAUCAAGAGAAUAGUAUUUCUGCAAUUGAGAGGCAAUAAUGGAGAGAACAAAGAUGGUUACACCAAAGAUGCAAACUUAGCAUAACAUGCAAUAGCAAAUGCACAAACCAAAGUACAUUUCAAAAGAGAAGGAAAAUAUUUCAACAUUAUGGUCUAGUAAAUACCAGUAGAGAUUGAAAGCAUGCAAACCUGGUAAAUUUCAAAUCCACAUUCUUCACAAGUAUAAACAGCUACUUGAAUCAGUGGCUUCACAUCAGAGCAACGCGUAACAAUCCCCGAUAUUCUCACGAGCUGGCCAAUGUACGAAGCCUUCACCUCCCUGAUUGUGAAAGGCCUUCCUUUUGGAGAUGCUCUGAUGUAAACUUCACUGUUUCCGUAUAGAUUCAGACUUUAGCAUGAUUAUUUUUCUUUUGAAUAUUUGACAAUUUAAAGUAGCCAUGAAAAUUACCCGAAAGAAAUACAAUUAAGAAGAACGUGCCAUUCUAACAAAUAAAAACGCUUAGUGGUUUGCCAAUAUUUUGAUUUUUAGUUUAGUUUACAGGAAAAUGAACUGAAGCAUAAGUUGUCCUACCGGAUAACAAUAAGCUAUGUAGAAGCUUACAAAUAACGUUUGAUUUCAGGAGGCAUCUGCUGCUGGGGAUCGGAACCAUCGGCAUUCUCAGUUCCUUCCUCGGACCUCUGGGUCAUUAGGAUAUCUUGAUCAUCGUCAGGGAAGGGCUCGGUGGCCUCAGGCAUGAGCUCAUCAAUUGCGUUGGCAAAAAUUUGUAUGUAACGCCGGGUAUUUUCCGUGACCCGCCUAAGGAAGUCUUCAUCCAAGUCCUUGUACUGAUAUUUAAACAACUUCAUCACCGACAACGAAUUUACAGGAUCAAGUUUAAAUGACAGGCAAUGAAUAGGACAUUAGAGUUUCAAACGAGAUUACAUUCACUAAAUCUUCAAGCUCGAUGUGAACGGCCUUCAUUUUAUGAUUAGCAACAUCUUGCUGAAAUUCAAAAGACACGUAUGUAGAGAUCCAUAAAUUUACCAAGAAAGAGAGAAAUGCAAAAACAAACAUAAUCAUAUAUGUAAAUAUGUAUAGACACUCGCAUAAGGGUAUCCGGUGAAAAUUAAGAACAAAACUGAGGAGAAUAAUCUCACAAGCAUAUUCAUGUAUUUGGCUUCUCCAUCUGGAUCCGCAAAGUGAGAAAGAAAAUCUUUUGCCAGAUCUGAAGAUUAAGCAAAACAGACGAUAAAUUUCGGGCACCCGCGAUGCAGCAGUUUCCAAUGCGCAUACCCUUUCCCCUGCGCCGGGGAUGGGGGAGUGGGAAGAGAGAUCUCACCUUUAUCUCGGUCGAAGUCGAGAUUGUCCAUCGCCGCCAUCUUCUGGAGCUUGACAGUAAAUCGAGGAUUCCAGUAGGUGGAGCUAGGGACCUGGGGGCAGGGGAAAAGGAUAUGGGUUGAAAGAGGACUAGAGAAUUGGCGGCAAAACAGAUGGCCGUCCUAGAGAGAUUUGGCGGGAAAAGUAUAGUACGACGACGAUAGCAUUAGAUUUUUCUAUAUCACUCCUCGUAUUGAAGUAAUUUUCUGCCAUCCACCCAUUUGGAUUAUUGAGUUUUUCAAAAAUUAGUUUUUUAAAUAUUAUAAAAAAUUUUAAAAAGUAAUCUCAAUUUUUUUAUAUUUAAAAAAUAUUCUAAAAAUUUAAUUGCUCUUAAAUAUUUUAAAAUAUAUUCUAAAAAUAUUCUAAAAUAUAAUUUAAAAAUUUUACUACAGUACAAAAUUUUAAAAAUAAUUAAUUCAAACGAAACGUCCCCACAAUUUUUUAAUGAUAAAUAUACCCUUCACAGCUCAAAUAUUUGGCCCAUGUUGAAAAGAGUAAACUUGUCAUUUUAAUACAAUUUCUCAGCUGUGACAUGAACACCAACCUUCGCAAUAUUCUUCCUAAUUUUUCUUUAAUGCCACCUUAGUCUCUAAGACCAAUUGUCCCCAGUAAAGUCACAUGUGGGGUUAAGACACGGAUGAUGGGUUUUGCAAUAUAAGUCCCUCAAUUCAUUUUUGUGCCACCACAGUCCUUUACGUAAUAAUCAAUUAGAAUUGCUCAUUGCAACUUGGCUAUUUGUUACUCAACAAGAUAUAGUUUUUUUGGAUUUUUUCUGAGAAAAAACCGGUGAAAUGGUGGGAAAAAUCUGCUAAAAAAAUUUUAAAAUCUUAAUAGUAUAAAAUUUCGUAUAAUUAAAUGUGCCAAAUCAUAAUCAUCAAAUCCAGAUAGUAUAUGGUAGUGGCUAUUAUAAAUGGGACAAUCUAUGAGUCUUAGGAGAGCUAGAUUGCCAUCAUUAAUAAAUUUCAUAGCGAGCAUUAGGCACGCACCCUGGAUGCUACUGAAUACUAGUAAAACCAAAAUGGGAGGAGGGGCGGGGAAAGAGAAACUGAUUUCGGAGCCAUCAAAAGAGCAAUGACGUAUUCUGAUCUGAAUCGCAACUUCCAGAACAACGUAGUAGCCGGACCAUCAUUUCGCAACCAACCCAUAUGUUUUGCAACAGAAACAUUCAUUUUGCACUUCCCAGCGACAGCGUACUGAAAGUUAGAAAAAAAAAUUACCAGUACAAAAUGCGUUCCAUUGUCAGGCCAUGAAACGGAGCAAUGGUGCUCUCGUGCAACUUGAUUCGAACGAGAAAAUCUCAAUGAACCUUGAGAGGACAGAUAUGGAUGGCCUGGUAUAAUCAGCCUCUAAACCAGAUCAGCAGCCUUUGAGGAGCAAUUUUCUUUAUACAUCAAAAUAUUUUGGCCUCUCAGUUGGAUUCAUAUCAGUGAUCACAGGCCUCGAGGGAAGGGAAAUUACACAAAUAACAC